rnacentral:lncRNA from 1 species
ACAUUAAAACGCAUUAUUAUAAAAGAAUUAUAAACUAGAGUUUAUAUAAAUAAGUAUUAAACAAGAAUUGAUAUAAAGAAUAAAAAUAACAAAUUAAUCUAAACAAGUUAAAUUAUUAAUAAUACUAUAUACAUAUUAUACUACAGAAAAAAAUUAAAAAUAUAAACAAAUCUGCUGCCGAACUAUCACCGGAGAGGGAUGAGAUGCUGAAUUCCAUCACCAAAAUUGAGUUAAACAACUUAAGAAAAAAAUAAUUGGGGGAGAGCGGAUAGGGGCCGACUGAACGGGGGAGAUGAAGAGGGUGAAGGAGAGGAGGAGUGAGAUAGAGGUAAAUCAUACCUAAUAUGGUUAGAUUAGAGGAUAAAAAUGACAAAUAGACCUGGUUGGGGGCACAAGUUGAGAGGGGAGAAGAGGGAAAAAAGUAGGAGAAGAAAGAAUAAAGAAGAAAAAACGGGUUAGGAUGUAUUAAAAAACAAUUAGUG